rnacentral:rRNA from 1 species
CCGCACAAGCGGCGGAGCAUGUGGAUUAAUUGGAUGCAACGAGAAGAACCUUACAUGGGUUUGACAUGCACAGGACGUACCUAGAGAUAGGUAUUCCCUUGUGGCCUGUGUGCAGGUGGUGCAUGGCUGUCGUCAGCUCGUGUCGUGAGAUGUUGGGUUAAGUCCCGCAACGAGCGCAACCCUUGUCCUAUGUUGCCAGCGGGUAAUGCCGGGGACUCGUAGGAGACUGCCGGGGUCAACUCGGAGGAAGGUGGGGAUGACGUCAAGUCAUCAUGCCCCUUAUGUCCAGGGCUUCACACAUGCUACAAUGGCCAGUACAGAGGGCUGCGAAGCCGCAAGGUG